rnacentral:rRNA from 1 species
CAAUAGCGUAUAUUAAAGUUGUUGCAGUUAAAAAGCUCGUAGUUGGAUUUCUGGUUGAAGCGACCGGUCGGGCGUUGAUUCGUCUGCACUGGAGUCGGUUUUGGCCAUCCUCUAGGAAAGUGCGUCUGGUAUUAAGUUAUCGGGCGUAUGAUCCUGGUCUUUUACUGUGAAAAAAUUAGAGUGUUUAAAGCAGGCCUUCGCCUUGAAUACAUUAGCAUGGAAUAAUAAGAUAGGACUUCGGUCUAUUUUGUUGGUUUGCAGACCGAAGUAAUGAUUAAUAGGGAUAGUUGGGGGUAUUUAUAUUCCGAUGUCAGAGGUGAAAUUCUUAGAUUUUCGGAAGAUAAACUUAUGCGAAAGCAUUUACCAAGGAUGUUUUCAUUA